rnacentral:rRNA from 1 species
AAGAGCUCAAAUUUAUAAUCUGGCACCUUCGGUGUCCGAGUUGUAAUCUCUAGAAGUGUUUUCCGCGUUGGACCGCACACAAGUCUGUUGGAAUACAGCGGCAUAGUGGUGAAACCCCCGUAUAUGGUGCGGACGCCCAGCGCUUUGUGAUACACUUUCAAUGAGUCGAGUUGUUUGGGAAUGCAGCUCAAAUUGGGUGGUAAAUUCCAUCUAAAGCUAAAUAUUGGCGAGAGACCGAUAGCGAACAAGUACCGUGAGGGAAAGAUGAAAAGCACUUUGGAAAGAGAGUUAACAGUACGUGAAAUUGUUGGAAGGGAAACGCUUGAAGUCAGACUUGCUUGCCGGAGCUUGCUUCGGUUUGCAGGCCAGCAUCAGUUUUCCGGGGUGGAUAAUGACGGUUUGAAGGUAGCAGUCUCGGCUGUGUUAUAGCUUUCCGUUGGAUACAUCCUGGGGGACUGAGGAACGCAGCGUGCUUUUUGCGAAAGACUCGUCUUUUUCACGCUUAGGAUGCUGGUGGAAUGGCUUUAAACGACCCGUU